GCAAGUCGAACGCUGAAGGCCCAGCUUGCUGGGUUGGAUGAGUGGCGAACGGGUGAGUAACACGUGAGUAACCUGCCCCCUUCUUUGGGAUAACGGUCGGAAACGGCUGCUAAUACCGGGUAUUCACUGUCCUUCGCAUGGGGGGUGGUGGAAAGGUUUUUUCUGGUGGGGGAUGGGCUCGCGGCCUAUCAGCUUGUUGGUGGGGUGAUGGCUUACCAAGGCUUUGACGGGUAACCGGCCUGAGAGGGUGACCGGUCACAUUGGGACUGAGAUACGGCCCAGACUCCUACGGGAGGCAGCAGUGGGGAAUAUUGCACAAUGGGCGAAAGCCUGAUGCAGCGACGCCGCGUGAGGGAUGGAGGCCUUCGGGUUGUAAACCUCUUUCGCUCAUGGUCAAGCCGCAACAGUGGUUGUGGUGAGGGUAGUGGGUAAAGAAGCACCGGCUAACUACGUGCCAGCAGCCGCGGUAAUACGUAGGGUGCGAGCGUUGUCCGGAAUUAUUGGGCGUAAAGGGCUUGUAGGCGGUUUGUCGCGUCUGCCGUGAAAUCCUCUGGCUUAACUGGGGGCGUGCGGUGGGUACGGGCAGGCUUGAGUGCGGUAGGGGAGACUGGAACUCCUGGUGUAGCGGUGGAAUGCGCAGAUAUCAGGAAGAACACCGGUGGCGAAGGCGGGUCUCUGGGCC
rnacentral:rRNA from 1 species